rnacentral:rRNA from 1 species
UGCAGCAGAGCUCCGACCUUCGGGGACGAGCGCUUUUAUUAGACCAAAACCAAUCGGACCUCGUGUCCGUCCUUUGUGGUGACUCUGUAUAACUUUGGGCUGAUCGCACGGGCCUGUCCCGGCGACGUAUCUUUCAAGUGUCUGCCUUAUCAACUUUCGAUGGUAGGUUACGCGCCUACCAUGGUCGUAACGGGUAACGGGGAAUCAGGGUUCGAUUCCGGAGAGGGAGCCUGAGAAACGGCUACCACAUCCAAGGAAGGCAGCAGGCGCGCAAAUUACCCACUCCCAGAACGGGGAGGUAGUGACGAAAAAUAACAAUACGGGACUCUUUUGAGACCCCGUAAUUGGAAUGAGUACACUCUAAAUCCUUUAACGAGGAUCCAUUGGAGGGUAAGUCUGGUGCCAGCAACCGCGGUAAUUCCAGCUCCAAUAGCGUAUAUUAAAGUUGUUGCGGUUAAAAAGCUCGUAGUUGGAUCUCAGUUCCAGACGGGUGGUCCGCCUACCGGUGGUUACUGCCUGUUCUGAACAGUCAGCCGGUUUCUCUUGAUGAUCUUCACCGGUUGUCUUGGGUGACCGGCAAGUUUACUUUGAAAAAAUUAGAGUGCUCAAAGCAGGCGUGACGCCUGAAUAAUGGUGCAUGGAAUAAUGGAAUAGGACCUCGGUUCUAUUUUGUUGGUUUUCGGAACACGAGGUAAUGAUUAAGAGGGACAGACGGGGGCAUUCGUAUUGCGACGCUAGAGGUGAAAUUCUUGGACCGUC